AAGACUAUACUUUCAGGGAUCAUUUCUAUAGUUUGUGACUAGAGAAGUUUCUCUGAACGUGUAGAGCACCUUCAAGAUGGAUUAGAGACUUAAAU
rnacentral:snoRNA from 1 species